rnacentral:rRNA from 1 species
UAGCGUAGGCAGCGAGCGUUGUUCGGAGUUACUGGGCGUUAAAGGGUGUGUAGGACGGUUCUUUAAGUUUGGUGUGAAAUCUCCCGGCUCAACCGGGAGGGUGCGCCGAAUACUGAGGGACUAGAGUAUGGGAUGGGAAAGUGGAAUUCCUGGUGUAGCGGUGAAAUGCGUAGAUAUCAGGAGGAACACCUGUGGUGUAGACGGCUUUCUGGACCAUAACUGACGCUGAGACACGAAAGCGUGGGUAGCAAACAGG